GGGUUGUGAGGUUAAGCGACUAAGCGUACACGGUGGAUGCCCUGGCAGUCAGAGGCGAUGAAGGACGUGCUAAUCUGCGAAAAGCGUCGGUAAGGUGAUAUGAACCGUUAUAGCCGGCGAUGUCCGAAUGGGGAAACCCAGUGCAAUUCGUUGCACUAUCGUUAACUGAAUACAUAGGUUAACGAGGCGAACCGGGGGAACUGAAACAUCUAAGUACCCCGAGGAAAAGAAAUCAACCGAGAUUCCCCCAGUAGCGGCGAGCGAACGGGGAGCAGCCCAGAGUCUGAAUCAGCUUGUGUGUUAGUGGAACGGUCUGGAAAGUCCGACGGUACAGGGUGAUAGUCCCGUACACCAAAAUGCACAGGCUGUGAACUCGAAGAGUAGGGCGGGACACGUGGUAUCCUGUCUGAAUAUGGGGGGACCAUCCUCCAAGGCUAAAUACUCCUGACUGACCGAUAGUGAACCAGUACCGUGAGGGAAAGGCGAAAAGAACCCCGGCGAGGGGAGUGAAAAAGAACCUGAAACCGUGUACGUACAAGCAGUGGGAGCACCUUCGGGUGUGACUGCGUACCUUUUGUAUAAUGGGUCAGCGACUUAUAUUCUGUAGCAAGGUUAACCGUAUAGGGGAGCCGCAGGGAAACCGAGUCUUAACUGGGCGUUAAGUUGCAGGGUAUAGACCCGAAACCCGGUGAUCUAGCCAUGGGCAGGUUGAAGGUUGGGUAACACUAACUGGAGGACCGAACCGACUAAUGUUGAAAAAUUAGCGGAUGACUUGUGGCUGGGGGUGAAAGGCCAAUCAAACCGGGAGAUAGCUGGUUCUCCCCGAAAGCUAUUUAGGUAGCGCCUCGUGAACUCAUCUUCGGGGGUAGAGCACUGUUUCGGCUAGGGGGUCAUCCCGACUUACCAACCCGAUGCAAACUACGAAUACCGAAGAAUGUUAUCACGGGAGACACACGGCGGGUGCUAACGUCCGUCGUGAAGAGGGAAACAACCCAGACCGCCAGCUAAGGUCCCAAAGUCAUGGUUAAGUGGGAAACGAUGUGGGAAGGCACAGACAGCCAGGAUGUUGGCUUAGAAGCAGCCAUCAUUUAAAGAAAGCGUAAUAGCUCACUGGUCGAGUCGGCCUGCGCGGAAGAUGUAACGGGGCUAAACCAUGCACCGAAGCUGCGGCAGCGACACUAUGUGUUGUUGGGUAGGGGAGCGUUCUGUAAGCCUGCGAAGGUGUGCUGUGAGGCAUGCUGGAGGUAUCAGAAGUGCGAAUGCUGACAUAAGUAACGAUAAAGCGGGUGAAAAGCCCGCUCGCCGGAAGACCAAGGGUUCCUGUCCAACGUUAAUCGGGGCAGGGUGAGUCGACCCCUAAGGCGAGGCCGAAAGGCGUAGUCGAUGGGAAACAGGUUAAUAUUCCUGUACUUGGUGUUACUGCGAAGGGGGGACGGAGAAGGCUAUGUUAGCCGGGCGACGGUUGUCCCGGUUUAAGCAUGUAGGCUGGUUAUCCAGGCAAAUCCGGAUAAUCAAGGCUGAGGUGUGAUGACGAGGCACUACGGUGCUGAAGUAACAAAUGCCCUGCUUCCAGGAAAAGCCUCUAAGCAUCAGGUAACAUCAAAUCGUACCCCAAACCGACACAGGUGGUCAGGUAGAGAAUACCAAGGCGCUUGAGAGAACUCGGGUGAAGGAACUAGGCAAAAUGGUGCCGUAACUUCGGGAGAAGGCACGCUGGUGUGUAGGUGAAGUCCCUGCGGAUGGAGCUGAGACCAGUCGAAGAUACCAGCUGGCUGCAACUGUUUAUUAAAAACACAGCACUGUGCAAACACGAAAGUGGACGUAUACGGUGUGACGCCUGCCCGGUGCCGGAAGGUUAAUUGAUGGGGUUAUCCGUAAGGAGAAGCUCUUGAUCGAAGCCCCGGUAAACGGCGGCCGUAACUAUAACGGUCCUAAGGUAGCGAAAUUCCUUGUCGGGUAAGUUCCGACCUGCACGAAUGGCGUAAUGAUGGCCAGGCUGUCUCCACCCGAGACUCAGUGAAAUUGAACUCGCUGUGAAGAUGCAGUGUACCCGCGGCAAGACGGAAAGACCCCGUGAACCUUUACUAUAGCUUGACACUGAACAUUGAGCCUUGAUGUGUAGGAUAGGUGGGAGGCUUUGAAGCGUGGACGCCAGUCUGCGUGGAGCCAACCUUGAAAUACCACCCUUUAAUGUUUGAUGUUCUAACGUUGGCCCCUGACCGGGGUUGCGGACAGUGUCUGGUGGGUAGUUUGACUGGGGCGGUCUCCUCCCAAAGCGUAACGGAGGAGCACGAAGGUUAGCUAAUCCUGGUCGGACAUCAGGAGGUUAGUGCAAUGGCAUAAGCUAGCUUGACUGCGAGCGUGACGGCGCGAGCAGGUGCGAAAGCAGGUCAUAGUGAUCCGGUGGUUCUGAAUGGAAGGGCCAUCGCUCAACGGAUAAAAGGUACUCCGGGGAUAACAGGCUGAUACCGCCCAAGAGUUCAUAUCGACGGCGGUGUUUGGCACCUCGAUGUCGGCUCAUCACAUCCUGGGGCUGAAGUAGGUCCCAAGGGUAUGGCUGUUCGCCAUUUAAAGUGGUACGCGAGCUGGGUUUAGAACGUCGUGAGACAGUUCGGUCCCUAUCUGCCGUGGGCGCUGGAGAAUUGAGGGGGGCUGCUCCUAGUACGAGAGGACCGGAGUGGACGCAUCACUGGUGUUCGGGUUGUCAUGCCAAUGGCACUGCCCGGUAGCUAAAUGCGGAAGAGAUAAGUGCUGAAAGCAUCUAAGCACGAAACUUGCCCCGAGAUGAGUUCUCCCUGAGACUUUAAGUCUCCUGAAGGAACGUUGAAGACGACGACGUUGAUAGGCCGGGUGUGUAAGCGCAGCGAUGCGUUGAGCUAACCGGUACUAAUGAACCGUGAGGCUUAACCUUACAACGCCGAAG
rnacentral:rRNA from 1 species